rnacentral:rRNA from 1 species
UGGGGAAUUUUGGACAAUGGGCGAAAGCCUGAUCCAGCAAUGCCGCGUGUGUGAAGAAGGCCUUCGGGUUGUAAAGCACUUUUGUCCGGAAAGAAAUCCUUGGCUCUAAUACAGUCGGGGGAUGACGGUACCGGAAGAAUAAGCACCGGCUAACUACGUGCCAGCAGCCGCGGUAAUACGUAGGGUGCAAGCGUUAAUCGGAAUUACUGGGCGUAAAGCGUGCGCAGGCGGUUUGCUAAGACCGAUGUGAAAUCCCCGGGCUCAACCUGGGAACUGCAUUGGUGACUGGCAGGCUAGAGUAUGGCAGAGGGGGGUAGAAUUCCACGUGUAGCAGUGAAAUGCGUAGAGAUGUGGAGGAAUACCGAUGGCGAAGGCAGCCCCCUGGGCCAAUACUGACGCUCAUGCACGAAAGCGUGGGGAGCAAACAGGAUUAGAUACCCUGGUAGUCCACGCCCUAAACGAUGUCAACUAGUUGUUGGGGAUUCAUUUCCUUAGUAACGUAGCUAACGCGUGAAGUUGACCGCCUGGGGAGUACGGUCGCAAGAUUAAAACUCAAAGGAAUU